GAUGAACGCUGGCGGCGUGCCUAAUACAUGCAAGUCGAGCGAACAGACGAGGAGCUUGCUCCUCUGACGAUAGCGGCGGACGGGUGAGUAACACGUGGAUAACCUACCUAUAAGACUGGGAUAACUUCGGGAAACCGGAGCUAAUACCGGAUAAUAUAUUGAACCACAUGGUUCAAUAGUGAAAGAUGGUUUUGCUGUAACUUAUAGAUAGAUCCGCGCCGCAUUAGCUAGUUGGUAGGGUAACGCCUUACCAAGGCAAGGUUGCGUAGCCGACCGGAGGGGGGGACCGCCCCAACUGGAACUGAGACACGGUCCAGACUCCUCCGGGAGGCAGCAGUAGGGAAUCUUCCGCAAUGGGCGAAAGCCUGACGGGGCAACGCCGCGUGGGUGAUGAAGGUCUUCGGAUCUUAAAACUCUGUUAUUAGGGAGGAACAAAUGUGUAAGUAACUAUGCACGUCUUGACGGUACCUAAUCAGAAAGCCACGGCUAACUACGUG
rnacentral:rRNA from 1 species